rnacentral:rRNA from 1 species
GAUGAACGCUGGCGGCAGGCUUAACACAUGCAAGUCGAGCGAGGACUUCGGUCCUAGCGGCGGACGGGUGAGUAACGCGUGGGAACGUGCCCCUUGGUACGGAAUAGCCCCGGGAAACUGGGAGUAAUACCGUAUGAGCUCUACGGAGGAAAGAUUUAUCGCCAAGGGAUCGGCCCGCGUUGGAUUAGGUAGUUGGUGGGGUAAUGGCCUACCAAGCCGACGAUCCAUAGCUGGUUUGAGAGGAUGAUCAGCCACACUGGGACUGAGACACGGCCCAGACUCCUACGGGAGGCAGCAGUGGGGAAUCUUAGACAAUGGGCGCAAGCCUGAUCUAGCCAUGCCGCGUGAGCGAUGAAGGCCUUAGGGUUGUAAAGCUCUUUCAGCUGGGAAGAUAAUGACUGUACCAGCAGAAGAAGCCCCGGCUAACUCCGUGCCAGCAGCCGCAGUAA